CGAUCUUUUAUGAAGUGUGUUUAGACCAAACCGUCUACAAUUCUAACAAUUAAACAACUAACGCUGUCUAGAAAGCGUCGUUUGGUUUGAGUGCAAAGGUCGAACAUACAUCUACGGCGAAUGAAACGGGACAAGAUAAAGGACAACAAUAAACUUAAAAUGCGAUUUGGGACUUGUAUGAUUCAUCCCCAUAAAAUGCAUAUCAUAAUUUAUUCAAUCCAUUGUAUGUUCUAUACGUGGUACAGAUAACAUUGCAAGCUGUAUAAUUUUACAUCACCGAUAUGUAACACAAUAAUGAUAUCUUGACAAUAGCAUUUACUUUCCUAGGAAUCGUCUGACGUCAUCUACCUCGGAGCACAAACACGGAACUAAUGUGAAUUUUGGUGCUGCUCGAAUUAGCUACGUUAUAUGUAGUUAGUUUUAGUUUAGUUUAAGUAAUGGAAAAUAUUCGUGCACGCUUAAAUAUUGGAAACAAAGCAGAGCCUGUUAAACUGAGGAAACGAAAAUCCCAACUAUAUAGUGAAGAAGAAACAUGUCCUCUUGAUAAUGGUGUAUUGGGGGUCCAUGUCAGUGUCUUCACUGUGGCAUUUCGUCUCAUCAACUGCUUCCUGGUCCAGACCAGCUUUGUCCCGGAUGAGUACUGGCAGUCCCUCGAAAUCGCACAUCUUAUGGUUUUUGAAUAUUCUUGCAACAAUAUUCUUGAGUUUAAGCAGUACCCUUCUAAUAACCUUUUUGUGGACAAUAGGCUGUGUAUUCUGCUAAAUCCUUAAUAACUUCACCUAUAGCUAUUUGACGUGGGAGUGGACAGCAGAUAUAAGAGGGUUCUCCUACCCUCUCUUCUUUGCAGCUAUAUAUAAGAUAUUGCACUUCUUCACCUAUGACGCAGUUCAACUCUUGGUAAGUCAUAUUGAGUACAUCUUCAUAUUUUGCAGCAACUUAUAGUGCUGAUGCGAAAUGCAUUGCAUGUGACCCCAUUGUCAAAAUCUGUACAGUGUAUAUUGUGGAUUCUGCAUGUAUGGCUACCUCGAGUUGUGCAGUCACUGCUUUCUGCAUUGGCUGAUAUUAAACUCUACUGUCUUAUCCAAUCACUGGAGCAUUCUGACGUUGCCAAAUGGACAGUAAAAACAACAUGGACUACUUUGUUUCUCAUAACCUUUUCACUUAUUCCAAUUCUGGGUAAUAUGGGCUGAAACCAUGUGACAAAGCCUCUUUCUCUUUUUUUGUUACUAGUACCUCUGCCAGCUCUGUUCUUGGUUCACAUGGUACUACUGCACCAGGACCCUGACCAACACCAUGGAGACCACACUCACAACUCUGGCUCUCUAUUACUAUCCUCUGCCUGGCUCUAAAACACACAGCAGGUUGGACCUACACCUCUACACAACUCGAACAUAAAACCAUUUCACUUACUGUGCAUCUAAGUAUUUCCCAUUACACGGCAAGUUACAAAAUACCUUUACAAAAGUUAUACCUUUUAAUAAUGCUCCAUUAAUAACAUUCUGUUAAACAGAUUUUGCUUGUUUUCUUUCGCACUACAAAAUAUUUGAUCCUGGUUGCCUUGGCAGUCAUUGUUCGUCCAACAGCCUUGCUUGUGUGGCCUCUGUUGGUGUACCACUUCUGGCAGGAAGAUAAGAAGCUGAAACUCAUAACUCACCUUUGCCUUCCCAUUGGGUGAGUGCUUUGAUUUGAGAAAGACCAUUGUGCCUCAGCUGCAGAGUGAGGUUUUGACUGUAUGUUCUAUGGAAAGGUAGGAAAAGCAUUGUUUAAAAAAUAAUAAAGUAAAGGUAAUUAUAAAUCACAAGCUGUAAUGUUUGUGUUAAUUAACACAAGUGCCUUAAACCAUUUCCUCUUGCAGUGGACCCUGGUGCAGUACAACUUCCUUAAGUUUAAUGUUUUUCACAACGUGGCUGAGUUCUAUGGCUCUCAUCCAUGGCACUGGUACUUUACUCAGGGUUUUGUGGUCGUCAUUGGCCCUCAUCUUCCUUUCUUCCUGUAUGGAUGCACACUGGCUUCAAAAAGAUACAGAAUCAUGUUAAUAACAAUAGUCUGGACAGUAAUGGUUUACAGUUGUCUUGCGCACAAGGAGUUCAGAUUCAUCUACC